UGAACGCUGGGCCGCAGGCUUAGACAUGCAAAUAGAGCGGGGGGCAGGGAGAAGCUUGCUUCUUUGCUGACGAGCGGCGGACGGGUGAGUAAUGCCUGGGAAUCUGCCUGGUAGUGGGGGAUAACUUGCCGAAAGGUAAGCUAAUACCGCGUACGCCCCAUGGGGGAAAGCAGGGGAUCUUCGGACCUUGCGCUAUCAGAUGAGCCCAGGCCGGAUUAGCUAGUUGGUGGGGUAAAGGCCUACCAAGGCGACGAUCCGUAGCUGGUCUGAGAGGAUGAUCAGCCACACCGGGACUGAGACACGGCCCGGACUCCUACGGGAGGCAGCAGUGGGGAAUAUUGGACAAUGGGGGGAACCCUGAUCCAGCCAUGCCGCGUGUGUGAAGAAGGUCUUCGGAUUGUAAAGCACUUUAAGUUGGGAGGAAGGGUUUCUGGUUAAUACCCGGGAAUUUUGACGUUACCAACAGAAUAAGCACCGGCUAACUUCGUGCCAGCAGCCGCGGUAAUACGAAGGGUGCGAGCGUUAAUCGGAAUUACUGGGCGUAAAGCGCGCGUAGGUGGUUUGUUAAGUUGGAAGUGAAAGCCCCGGGCUCAACCUGGGAAUGGCUUUCAAAACUGGCGAGCUAGAGUACGGUAGAGGGCAGUGGAAUUUCCUGUGUAGCGGUGAAAUGCGUAAUAUAGGAAGGAACAUCAGUGGCAAAGGCGACUGUCUGGACUGAUACUGACCCUG
rnacentral:rRNA from 1 species